UGAGGAAUAUUGGGUCAAUGGCCGCAAGGCUGAACCAGCCAAGUAGCGUGCAGGAUGACGGCCCUCGGGUUGUAAACUGCUUUUAGUCGGGAAUAAAAGGGCGCACGUGUGCGUCGUAUUGCAAGUACCGUCAGAAAAAGGACCGGCUAAUUCCGUGCCAGCAGCCGCGGUAAUACGGAAGGUCCGGGCGUUAUCCGGAUUUAUUGGGUUUAAAGGGAGCGUAGGCGGUCUGGUAAGUCAGCUGUGAAAACGCGGGGCUCAACUCCGCGCCUGCAGUUGAUACUGUCGGACUUGAGUGCACGCAGGGAUGCCGGAAUUCAUGGUGUAGCGGUGAAAUGCUUAGAUAUGACGCAGAACUCCGAUUGCGAAGGCAGCUUUCCAGCGCGCUACUGACGCUGAGGCACGAAAGCGUGGGGAUCGAACAGGAUUAGAUACCCUGGUAGU
rnacentral:rRNA from 1 species